AAUUUUUUUACAAAUUUAAUUGGAUUCAAUGCAACGUUAAAAUCAUGACAAAAUGUUAAAUAAUUUAUCUAAAAUUAAGAUGAAAACAUAAAAUAGAACCUAAUUCAAAAUCAUAAUAAAACCUAUAAUAGUAUCUCACUGAUACUAAAAUAACAUUAAAUCCAACAGAUAUAUAUAUAUUUUUUUUACAAAUUUAAUUGGAUUCAAUGUAACAUAAUAAUAUUGUGACAAAAUGUUAAAUAAUUUAUCUAAAAUUAAAAUGAAAACAUAAAAUAGAACCUAAUUCAAAAUAUAUAUUUAAAAAAAACCUAUAAUAGUAUCUCACUGAUACUUAAAUAAUAAGUAUCCAAAAAAAAAAAAAGUUGACCAUUUUACUGAUUUAAGUGUAAUUGAAUGUAAUGUAAUUUGGUUGUGACAAAAUGUUAAAGAACAGUGUUGCUUCAGUACAUCAAAUAAGGAGUAAAAAUCAUUUUUAGUACGUUUAUCACUCAGUAUAUGUUUAUCAAACCCAUGACAUCACUAGUUAAGCCACAUAACCUCCAGACCCUGAUGAUCACAGUGAUACAUUUUGUUCGUAGUUUCCUACUGAAGAAAGCUGGACACUGAUGAGAGUGACGUGUGAUGGGACCGGCUGCUUUCCUCUAAACCCUGUAAGUCCAGCAGUGCUGUUUGCUGUGGUAAUUUGCAGACUCCAGUGGGAACAGUGGCAUUCCUCAUGGCUUAAACGCACCAAUACUGCGGGUCAGAGCUCCAUUUGUCUUCUGUGUUUUUGCUCCAGAAAUAAACAAUGAUGAGAUCGAAGAGAAAGGGAAAAGAGAAACUGCCAGAUCGCCCAGAUCUUCUGUGAGUCAUUAUUCAGUUUGUUUGUUCUUCAAUGCAAAUGUUUCUUUCAGAAUUUUCACAGCAUUCUGAUGUUUUCUCUUGACAGAAAGUGCAGAACCGAGGCUUGUUCGGAGGUUAACUGGUCAACAACAGCACAAAAGAUGAUUAAUUUGGCACGUAUUCAUGAUAAAUACGGGCUGAAGAAGUUUUGGGAAGAGAAGAUCGAAAGCCACGUUCAGAGGAUAGGAAAUGAAGACUCGAGAAUGAAGAACAGCGCUUUAUCCAAGUGUGUAUGUCUGUCACGGAGAGUCAAAUCUCUUCUUUGAUAGUUGCUGCUACAGAAUAACUUCAUCCAAUGUGUGGCUUUUCUUUCCAUUUGUCACUUUUCAAGCUUAUAUUCCGGGGUGGUAAUUGCAAAGAAAGAUUAUAGGUCAAGUAAACUGAAAUGAAAAGAUCAUUUUGAUGAAUGACCUCAAGUCAUAAAAUCCAGCUGGCUGGAAUGGUCCUUAAGGGAGAUAAUGGAAAAACUCACAAUUGUUUUUUCCGACCUAGUUUAGCAUCCAUAAAUAGUUCUGGCUUCUGGAAAUGAAAAGCAUCCCAAUGAGAGUCCGAAGGUUGAUGGGUAAAUCCAGACAGGCUUCUAUUGCUUGUUUUUGCUGCCCUCCAGUGUUUCCUUCAGGAAGGUCAUGUGGAUUAGCACAUGCACUGGUACAAAUCUCCAGGCUUUGGACCUCUCAAAUCAAAGGCAGCGUGUUGCAGUAAAAACAGCUGUAGAGACAAGAGCAGCUUUCUGAGUGUGUAAUGAAUACACUGUUCAUUCAGAUGAACCGCAACAGGCUUCAGAGCAAAUCCAAGGCUUUAUUAAUACUCAGAUGCAAAUCUGAGCAAAGUUGGAGAAACUACUUUGACUCAUGUUAAAUGUUAGUCAUAAUUUACAGUAGUGUAAAAGUGUAUUAUUAUAGUAGUUGCUAAUAAAAAGUAACUAAAAUUGUUUUCGUUAUAUCCU
ensembl:lncRNA